rnacentral:rRNA from 1 species
CCAUGCAUGUCUAAGUAUAAAUUCUUGUACGAUGAAACUGCAGACGGCUCAUUACAACAGUGAUAAACUGCUAGACUUUCGGGUUUUUAACCUUUUGGAUAACCGCAGUAAAUCGGGGCUAAUACAUAGAAGCGAUGGGUGACUGGCAACGGAAGCUCAGCGAUUAUUAGCGUUACUACCAAUACCUUCGGGUCUUGUGGUGAAACCGAAUAAUAUUGCAGAUCGAGGAUUUAUCUUCGACAAGUCUACUGUGUCACUGCCCUAUCAACUUUCGAUGGUACGGUAUUGGCCUACCAUGGUUGUAACGGGUAACGGGGAAUUAGGGUUCGAUUCCGGAGAGGGAGCCUGAGAAAUGGCUACCACUUCUACGGAAGGCAGCAGGCGCGCAAAUUACUCAAUCCCAAUACGGGGAAGUAGUGACAAUAAAUAUCAAUACCUAUCCUUUUUGGAGGGCAAUUGAAAUGAACACAAAUUAAAACUCUUAAUUAACACAAUUGGAGGGCAAGUCUGGUGCCAGCAGCCGCGGUAAUUCCAGCUCCAAUAGCAUAUACUAAAGUUGUUGCAGUUAAAAAGCUCGUAGUUGAAGUUAAAGUUAUAUUGGGCUCAAGUUUUUUACCACUCUGGUGGCUAAAACAACUCCAAUAUUUCUUUUUUUAAUAGCUCAGUUUCUAGGUCUUUGACUCUAGUUAUUUGGGCAUUUCACUGUGAGAAAAUUGUGGUGUUUAAAGCAGGCGUCUCGUCUGAUCUUUUGCAGCAUGGUAUGAUGAAACAUGACAUUUUACG